UACGAAGGGUGCAAGCGUUACUCGGAAUUACUGGGCGUAAAGCGUGCGCAGGCGGUUAUAUAAGACAGUUGUGAAAUCCCCGGGCUCAACCUGGGAAUUGCAUCUGUGACUGUAUAGCUAGAGUACGGUAGAGGGGGAUGGGAAUUCCGCGUGUAGCAGUGAAAUGACGUAGAUAUGACGGAGGAACACCGAUGGCGAAGGCAAUCCCCUGGACCUGUACUGACGCUCAUGCACGAAAGCGUGGGGAGCAAACAGG
rnacentral:rRNA from 1 species